rnacentral:rRNA from 1 species
CCUACGGGUGGCAGCAGUGAGGAAUAUUGGUCAAUGGGCGCGAGCCUGAACCAGCCAAGCCGCGUGAAGGAUGACUGCCCUACGGGUUGUAAACUUCUUUUAUAAAGGAGUAAAGUGAGGCACGCGUGCCUUUUUGUACGCACUUUAUGAAUAAGGAUCGGCUAACUCCGUGCCAGCAGCCGCGGUAAUACGGAGGAUCCGAGCGUUAUCCGGAUUUAUUGGGUUUAAAGGGAGCGUAGAUGGGUUGUUAAGUCAGUUGUGAAAGUUGGCGGCUCAACCGUAAAAUUGAAAUUGAUACUGGUGGUCUUGAGUACAGGAGAGGUAGGCGGAAUUCGGGGUGUAGCGGUGAAAUGCUUAGAUAUCAGGAAGAACACCGAUUGCGAAGGCAGCUUACUAGACUGCAACUGACAUUGAUGCGCGAAAGUGUGGGGAGCAAACAGGAUUAGAUACCCUUGUAGUC